GUAAAUAUAGUUUAUUAAAAACACUAGACUGUGACUCUAGAAACAGAAGCUCCAUCUUCUUAUUUACC
rnacentral:tRNA from 1 species